GAUGAACGCUAGCUACAGGCUUAACACAUGCAAGUCGCGGGGCAGCAUGGGGGUUGCUUGCAAUCCCCGAUGGCGACCGGCGCGCGGGUGAGUAACGCGUAUCCAACCUGCCCUUCACCACGGGAUAACCCGGCGAAAGUCGGACUAAUACCGUAUGUUGUCCAUUGACGGCAUCCGAUUUGGACGAAAGGCUUGGCGGUGAGGGAUGGGGAUGCGUCCGAUUAGCCAGACGGCGGGGUAACGGCCCACCGUGGCUACGAUCGGUAGGGGUUCUGAGAGGAAGGUCCCCCACACUGGAACUGAGACACGGUCCAGACUCCUACGGGAGGCAGCAGUGAGGAAUAUUGGUCAAUGGGCGUAAGCCUGAACCAGCCAAGUAGCGUGCAGGAUGACGGCCCUAUGGGUUGUAAACUGCUUUUAUGCGGGGAUAAAGUGGCCCACGUGUGGGCUUUUGCAGGUACCGCAUGAAUAAGGACCGGCUAAUUCCGUG
rnacentral:rRNA from 1 species